UACGGGGGGAGCAAGCGUUGUUCGGAUUUACUGGGCGUAAAGGGCGCGUAGGCGGUCGUGACAAGUCACUUGUGAAAUCUCCGGGCUUAACUCGGAACGGUCAAGUGAUACUGUCGGACUAGAGUACAGAAGGGGCAACUGGAAUUCUAGGUGUAGCGGUGAAAUGCGUAGAUAUCUGGAGGAACACCGGUGGCGAAGGCGGCAUCCUGGACCGGCAUUGACGCUGAGGCGCGAAAAGCUAGGGGAGCAAACGGG
rnacentral:rRNA from 1 species